rnacentral:rRNA from 1 species
UUCCGGUUGAUCCUGCCGGACCCGACCGCUAUCGGGGUGGGGCUAAGCCAUGCGAGUCGUGCGCCCCGGGCCAUGGCGGGGCGCGGCGCACGGCUCAGUAACACGUGGCCAACCUACCCUCGGGACGGGGAUAACCCCGGGAAACUGGGGCUAAUACCCGAUAGGCGAUGGCUCCUGGAAUGGGCCAUCGCCUAAAGGGAUCUGGGACCAUGCCUCCCAGAUCCGCCCGAGGAUGGGGCUGCGGCCCAUCAGGUAGUUGGCGGGGUAACGGCCCGCCAAGCCGAUAACGGGUACGGGCCGUGAGAGCGGGAGCCCGGAGAUGGGCCCUGAGACAAGGGCCCAGGCCCUACGGGGCGCAGCAGGCGCGAAACCUCCGCUAUGCGGGAAACCGCGACGGGGUCACCCCGAGUGCCGCCCGAAGAGGGCGGCUUUUCCCCAGUGUAACAAGCUGGGGGCAAUAAGCGGGGGGCAAGUCUGGUGUCAGCCGCCGCGGUAAUACCAGCCCCGCGAGUGGUCGGGACGCUUAUUGGGCUUAAAGCGUCCGUAGCCGGUCCAGCAAGUCCCUCCUUAAAUCCCACGGCUCAACCGUGGGGCUGGGAGGGAUACUGCUGGACUAGGGGGCGGGAGAGGCCGAGGGUACUCCCGGGGUAGGGGCGAAAUCCUAUAAUCCCGGGAGGACCACCAGUGGCGAAGGCGCUCGGCCAGAACGCGCCCGACGGUGAGGGACGAAAGCUGGGGGAGCAAAGGGGAUUAGAUACCCCCGUAGUCCCAGCUGUAAACGAUGCGGGCUAGGUGUUGGGCGGACUUCGAGUCCGCCCAGUGCCGCAGGGAAACCAUUAAGCCCGCCGCCUGGGGAGUACGGCCGCAAGGCUGAAACUUAAAGGAAUUGGCGGGGGAGCACCACAAGGGGUGAAUGCUGCGGUUUAAUUGGAUUCAACGCCGGA